UACGUAGGGUGCGAGCGUUUGUCCGGAAUUACUGGGCGUAAAGAGCUCGUAGGUGGUUUGUCGCGUUGUUCGUGAAAACUCACAGCUUAACUGUGGGCGUGCGGGCGAUACGGGCAGACUGGAGUACUGCAGGGGAGACUGGAAUUCCUGGUGUAGCGGUGGAAUGCGCAGAUAUCAGGAGGAACACCGGUGGCGAAAGGCGGGUCUCUGGGCAGUAACUGACGCUGGAGGUGACGAAAGCGUGGGGAGCAAACAGG
rnacentral:rRNA from 1 species